GACGGAGGGUGCUAGCGUUGUUCGGAAUCACUGGGCGUAAAGGGCGCGUAGGCGGCCCAUGCCGUCGGCUCGUGAAAGCCCGGGGCUCAACCCCGGAGGUGCGGCCGAGACCCAUGGGCUGGAGGUCGGAAGAGGAGGGUGGAAUCCCGAGUGUAGAGGUGAAAUUCGUAGAUAUUGGGUGGAACACCGGUGGCGAAAGCGGCUCUCUGGUCCGGUUCUGACGCUGAGGGGCGAAAGCGUGGGGAGCAAACAGG
rnacentral:rRNA from 1 species